rnacentral:misc_RNA from 1 species
GUGAAUCAUCAAAUCUUUGAACGCAAAUUGCACUUUCUGGUAUUCCGGAAAGUAUGCCUGUUUGAGGGUCAGUUAAAUAAAAAUCGGUGUUGUUGCUGCCUUUCGUUGUGACGCGUCGGAUUUGAGUCGUCUUCCCUUCGGUUAAGCUUCUUAAAAUUUUUUCAUGAUUUUCGCAUGUAUUUAUAUCAUUUACAUACGUUUGAGCUAUCGAAUGCUUGUUAUGUUCG